rnacentral:lncRNA from 1 species
AAUCUACAAGCACCAGCUACACCCACAUUGCCCCCAUCUACUGUCACGGUUUUGCAUCGCCCACAUCGCCAGUUCCUUUAACAGUGGUGGCUUCCAUUAUAGUUUUGAUCAAAUUUAAAGAUUUGGUUUUGCUUGGCUUCACUUGGAGAAAUUGUUUUGCUCGUGCACAAUUUAUUUCAUGGUUUCGAUCGGAUUUGUUCUUUAAUUGCUAUUUAAAUUAUUCGUUUGAUGGAUUAUACAUGAUAGAUAAGGAAUUAUUAUAUGUAUUGGGCAUAAAAAUUUAUAAUUUUGUAAGAUUAGGUUUUGUAAAAUAUGGCACAUUAAAUGUUUGUUA